rnacentral:misc_RNA from 1 species
GAUGAAGAACGUAGCGAAAUGCGAUACGUAAUGUGAAUUGCAGAUCUCUCAGUGAACCAUCGAAUUUUUGAACGCACAUAGCGCCCGCCGGUCAUUCCGGGGGGCAUGCCUGUCCGAGCGUCAUUGCUGCCCUCAAGCACGGCUUGUGUGUUGGGCCUCCGUCCUCCUCCCGGGGGACGGGCCCGAAAGGCAGCGGCGGCACCGCGUCCGGUCCUCGAGCGUAUGGGGCUUCGUCACCCGCUCUUGUAGGCCCGGCCGGCGCUUGCCGACACAUCAAUCUUUUUUCCAGGUUGACCUCGGAUCAGGUAGGGAUACCCGCUGAACUUAAGCAUAUCAAUAAGCGGAGGA